rnacentral:rRNA from 1 species
AACAAGGUUUCCGUAGGUGAACCUGCGGAAGGAUCAUUACUGAAAUGUAAUAACUUCUAUUGAAAGGUUCCAGAGUAGGCGCUACAACGCCGAAAUGACCUUCUCACCCUUGUGUACUCACUAUGUUGCUUUGGCGGGUCGACCUGGUUCCGACCCAGGCGGCCGGCGCCCCCAGCCUUAACUGGCCAGGACGCCCGGCUAAGUGCCCGCCAGUAUACAAAACUCAAGAAUUCAUUUUGUGAAGUCCUGAUAUAUCAUUUAAUUGAUUAAAACUUUCAACAACGGAUCUCUUGGUUCUGGCAUCGAUGAAGAACGCAGCGAAAUGCGAUAAGUAAUGUGAAUUGCAGAAUUCAGUGAAUCAUCGAAUCUUUGAACGCACAUUGCGCCCUCUGGUAUUCCGGAGGGCAUGCCUGUUCGAGCGUCAUUUCAACCCUCAAGCUCUGCUUGGUAUUGGGCAACGUCCGCUGCCGGACGUGCCUUGAAGACCUCGGCGACGGCGUCCUAGCCUCGAGCGUAGUAGUAAAAUAUCUCGCUUUGGAGUGCUGGGCGACGGCCGCCGGACAAUCGACCUUCGGUCUAUUUUUCCAAGGUUGACCUCGGAUCAGGUAGGGAUACCCGC